ACGUAGGGGGCAAGCGUUAUCCGGAUUUACUGGGUGUAAAGGGAGCGUAGACGGAAUGGCAAGUCUGAUGUGAAAGGCCGGGGCUCAACCCCGGGACUGCAUUGGAAACUGUCAAUCUAGAGUGCCGGAGGGGUAAGUGGAAUUCCUAGUGUAGCGGUGAAAUGCGUAGAUAUUAGGAGGAACACCAGUGGCGAAGGCGGCUUACUGGACGGUAACUGACGUUGAGGCUCGAAAGCGUGGGGAGCAAACAG
rnacentral:rRNA from 1 species